CUCUGCUUUUCCCCGCAGCCGCAUUACUCUCUCUCCCCGACCUCUCGCACUCCCUCUCUCUUCUUCCUCUGCAACCACCGGAAAUGCCAUCUCCGGCCACCACCUCCUAUCACCGCCAUUACCAAUCAACUCAACACCAAAAUCCGACCCAAACCCAUGAGAAAUCGAAGCCAUGCAUCGAUCCCAACCUCUCUCUUCCGUUCUCCUUCUCUCUGACACCACCGGAGACUCCAGCUCCGACCACCAUCUCCCCACACCGCCUCCACCAGUCGACGCACCACCCAAACCCGAGGCUUACCGUCCACAUGAAUCGCCUCCAGCCUCUGCACCGGAUCCUCAAAGCAGCGAUGCCACUGCUCGUUGGCUUUCCUCGAUUUCCGGCCAUCAGCUCGCCACACCGCCAUCACUUCUCGACUCAGAACUCGCCGGACGUCCAAACCUUGAAUCCUUGUUGACUGCCGAUGCCGGAGAGCGCCGUACCAGUCUUAUGCAGGAGUCUUAGCUUCUGCUAGGAUCGAUUUUUUCCUCCGAUCGAAAUUGAGCUAUGCCGCCUCCAAGGAUGGAAUCAGGGCUUCACGAUCUAUCAAAGCCCUAGACCCCCGACCUCUAGCUCCGACUAGAGCCACCGCACGCGCCUCACGCGCCGCCACAGGCGCGUGGACCACCGUAACUCCGUCGCUCACGGUCGCCGGAAUCGUCAGGACUUCUCGAUUAGGUAAUUCUGUGAUUUCUCUUUAGCUGGAGCUUCUAGUUUGAGUAGAGUGAACUCUAAUAACUUGUUAUUUGAUUUGGAGAGCUUUGAGGUCCGUGGAGUCUGGGAACUCGAGGUUCUUGGAGGAGGAAAACUGCUUCGAAUUGAGUUGGGUUAGGGAUUUGAGAAGGGGGUGGUGAUAGAGCAGCCAGUUCACAGCAGCAUACAUGGGUUAUCCUUGUUGGAGAAGAAGAAUGGUAAGGGUCCGGAUUUUUGGUCUUGCUGGUGUUGAAAUUAUUGUGGAUGUGUUCUGUUGAGUAAAAGAUGCAUGAAUGUAACUUGGUGUAUGAAUUGAAGGAAGGUUGAUUUAAGAUGACUUUUACUUUGGGUAAAUGCUUAAACAGAUUGGUAAUUGAGAUUGGAUCUAUUUGGUCGUGUAUUGUUUGUACUGAUUGAAGUUAAGGUUUCACCAAGUGCAAAUUAAGA